rnacentral:rRNA from 1 species
UGGGGAAUAUUGCGCAAUGGGGGAAACCCUGACGCAGCAACGCCGCGUGAUUGAAGAAGGUCUUCGGAUUGUAAAAAUCUUUUAUCAAGGACGAAGAAGUGACGGUACUUGAUGAAUAAGCUCCGGCUAACUACGUGCCAGCAGCCGCGGUAAUACGUAGGGGGCGAGCGUUGUCCGGAAUUACUGGGCGUAAAGGGAGCGUAGGCGGUCGAUUAAGUUAGAUGUGAAACCCCCGGGCUUAACUUGGGGACUGCAUCUAAUACUGGUUGACUUAGAGUACAGGAGAGGGAAGCGGAAUUCCUAGUGUAGCGGUGAAAUGCGUAGAUAUUAGGAGGAACACCAGUGGCGAAGGCGGCUUUCUGGACUGACACUGACGCUGAGGCUCGAAAGCGUGGGGAGCAAACAGGAUUAGAUACCCUGGUAGU